AAUUAACUGGGGAAGUUGUUGCUAGUACACAGCCUGCCAACUGCUACAACCAUCGCCAGGCUGGGUCUGAAUGCUCAGCAAAUCCCCCCACAGGGCACUGGCAGCUUGGAGAAUGUUCAUCCCUGUGCAGACUUGCCUGCUGCAGGCAGGUGCUCAGUCUUAGAGCUGAUUAGUGCAAAUCUGAUUCAUUGUAGAAAUGACUGCUUCCUAACUCCCUGGUACAGUCACAAAGUGGAGUCUGGACAUUCUAACCAGGAGCUUUGGGCCUUGAAAGGAGCUUGCUUAGUUUCUGCCAAUGACAACAUGUGCACACACGUUGUGCAUUCCUGUGAGCAAACAGGAGGCUUGGGAUCUGUUUUUGUUGUUGUUGUUGUUUUUCAUUUGGCCACCUCGAGGUAUUUGGAGUUCCUGGGGCAGGAUCAGAGCCGAGCUGCAGUUGUGACCUAUGCUGCAGGUGCGGCAGUGCUGGAUCCUUAACCCACUGUGCAGGGCUGGGGAUCAAACCUUUGUCCCAGCACUUCCAAGAUUGCUGCAGAUCCUGUUGCACCACAGCAGGAACUAAUGGUUGGUUUUUUUGUUUUUGUUUUUGUCACAACCUUGACUCAUGGGGAGAUAGAAGGGCUGGGAUUGUGUGGUGUACAAUUAGAGAUGUCUGUGAUCAGAGAGGCCUUGCGUUUCCCUCUGGAGAAAAGUAAUGACCACAAAGCAUGGGCGGGCAUUUCUUAGUGUGUUCUGGGAGGUCAGAUGUCAGAAAGGAGACCAAGCCUUGUUCAUGGAGUCUCUUGCAGUGGCUAUUGCACUCUCUUGAGCCUUUUUCAGUUGCACUUCCCAUUGUUCCUGCUUGCCAUUUUGAUCAGGAGCUUCCUUAUACAUGUUUUAUGGAGGGGACCACCGAGUUGGGCAGGCCAUCAAACAUUUGUUGAUCCUUUUCAACCCUGUAAUGUCCACACUUGAAAAACUGGAGACGUCCCAAUGAAAAACAGCUGGGUAGUGGUUUGUAAGCUUUGGUCUUUUGUGGUGGGUAGUGGCUGCCAUAUCACAGUUAAAGGUGACAGAUAGAAUCAAUACACAUGUCCCAUCCACACCAGAACACAGUAGGAAGGGAAUAUUGAUUGUAAAUAAUCCUGUGGGCUUACACAUGUGAAAAUAGAUGUUGUGAUUCCCUACUUGUGUAACUUUGUUAUCUUUUAUUGUGAUGACAGCUAAAUGUUUUAAUCAGGAGCGCUCAGUCAACAGGCAAAGUUGAUUUGUUUGUUGCUGCUUGCUCCCUCUAAACCAGAAGUGUUCUGUUUCCAGUAAAGUUGUUUGUCUCUCCAGCACUCGUUGCCUAGGAGUCCCCCUUCCAACCCUAUAGGAGCAAAGAUUUACUAGUCAAGAUUUAACCCAAACUGUAAAAUUGGGCCAAGGUCCUCUAGGAAAUAUUAAGUAUGAAAAAUUAUUCUACACAGUAGCUUUGUUUGAUCAGGGUAAGUUAAUUUUCUCAAAAGAUUAAUGAUAGAGCUCCAUGGUGGGUUAAGAAGGGUUAAGGAUCUGGCGCUGGCGCUGCCAUGGCUUGAGAUGCUUCUGUGGUGUGGAUCCAAUCCCUGGCCCUGGAACUUCUAUAUGCGUGGAUGCAGAAAAAAAAAAAAUACACACACACACACGAACUGUCUUGUACAUUAAACACUCUUAAAGAGCUGAGUAUCAUUUUUCCUCCUCCUCUGAGGUGGAAGUAGCCCCACUUCCCAACUGAUGUGAGUGCAGGAAAUGUGGUUGUACAGCCCACAAAAAUUUUUUAUAACUGCUUUAAGGUUGUUACUCUUGCUACUUUACUGUCUUAAAUGUAAACCACAAGUCAUAGAACCCAUUCUUUAUCUUGAACUUGAGCUUUCCUUUCAGAAAAGCACUUUAUAAACGCUUAGUUGUUCAGCAGUGUUCCAAUAGCUACUCUCCUCUUGCAGCAGUUCCCAGCCUACACAAGGUGGAUGGAUCAUUUCAGAAUGUCUUCCCCAAUACCCCACCCCCCAAAUAGCUGUGAUUGAACAACAUUGGGCACUACACAUAUGGCAGGCACUAUUUGUAAGCCUGCUGAUCAUUGGGACAAUCCUGAGGAUGAGCUUUGUUAACCACUCUUGUUUCACAAAUGAGGAAUCACUAGUCAAAUGAUGAUAUCUGUUGCUAAAAGUCUCCCAGGUUAAUUCUGGAGGUUGGAGUUCAGAUCGGGUUGGUUUUGUUCUUUGCCUGUAGGUCUGUUUCCACCCUCCCUGCCCAGCAGCAGUCUGAAGUAGGUGGACCCCAGACGUGGGUUAUUUGUUUUUACAUGUUCUUAGAUGCCAUGAAAUUCACUCUGACAUAUGUACCACUGCAGUCAUGAUACAGAGUAUUUCCAACACCCUCCCCACAUUCCCUUUGUGCCACUUUGUAGUCAGCCCCUUCUGCUACCUCUACAUCUGUCUAUAUUGGGAGUUCUGCCUGAGGCUAGGGCAUCUAUUGCUGGGGAAUCAGAGUAAACUGCUUCUUAGCUAGGAUUGGCCAUAGCUUGGAUGUCCCAGGCACUAUUCUCCGGUCCCUGUAUCUCAUCCCCUAACCCCACCAGGGGACUGAGUUGGUUACUAUGCCUAUGAAGCAGGUAUAAUUGUGAAAGGAUUGUGUGACUGUGAAAGAAUUCUCUAAGGGGAGGAUUCUUUUUUGAAUGGGGGGAGGGAUGCUAUGCCCGUUCAUGCAUAAAUAUGAUCACCUUCUAAUAAAACAUUGGGUCCUUCUGUGAGAUGGUCACAUGGUCAUAAGUAAGUAAUGUCAGGCCAGAGCCUCAGGCAUUUGGGUGGGCAGCCAUGGUAGCUGAGUGUAUUUGCUCCACAAGUGUCUGCAUCUAUAAAUGUUUGUGAUGACCUGUAAGGGAUGGCUCUGUACCAACGGAAGAGGGCUGUUGCUACAGUGCCUGGGGCAUGACCCAUGAAGGUGACAUGGUGUGUCAGCAGUAACCUAGAUUCUGGAAUCCUAGGAAAUGGCCUCAACUGCCUAGGGAGCUCUCAGUGUGGGACGUCUUUUAUUUCUCUAGGCCUUGGGUAGGAUUGGAUUUUGUAUUUUACUAGAAUGGAUGAUUCUGUGUUCUUUUUAAUAAGCUGGUUUUCUGGUUGUAGAAAAUAGAUUGUUAUGAUUUUUGUUUAGCUUGCAAGUGUUAGGGAAGCUGUAGAGAAGGAAUUAGUAGAUGCAAACUAUUGCAUUUGGGCUACCAUGGCUGCCCACCCAAAUGCCUCUAUAACACAGGGAACUAUAUCUAGUCACUUGUGCUGGAACAUGAUGGAGGAUGAUGUGAGAAAAAGUAUAUAUUAUAUAUAUAUGACUGUGUCACAGUAGAAAAUGACAAAACACUGUAAAUCAACUACAAUGGAAAAAAUAAAAAUCUUUUAAAAAAAAAUAAUGCAAGGGAAGGAGAGCCUGCUGUGGUGCAGUGGAAUCAGAGGUGUCUCAGAAGCAGUGGGGCGCAGGUUUGAUCCUCGGCCUGGCAUAGUGGGUUAAGGAUCUGGCAUUCCUACUGCUGUGGCUCAGAUCUGAUCUCUGGCCUGAGAACUCUGUAUCCUGCAGGAUGGCCAAAAAAGGAGGGAAAAAAUGCAAGGAAAGCAUUUUGCAGUUCUUUUCUUGACAGACAUUAGAGUUAAUCAGUCUCAUACAGACUUAGGCAAGAUUCAAGCAAAAGGAAACCAAAUAUUCCAGCCGUGCUUACAGUAAAUAUUUCCGUUUGUGGGAUUUUACCCAUGUUUGUGUGUUUCUCAGAGCUCACCAAUAAACCACUGCUUAAUAAUAAAGUCUGAUUUGGGUUGUAAGUCUCUGGGCCUGCCCUGUAUCUCAUUGCCUGAAGUGGAUCUUUAUCACAGUUGUUGCCUCCUGCAUAACCUGUAAUCUGGCCACCUGUGUGUGUGGUUGGUUGUGGUUCUCCCAGCUGGGGACAUUGCUUGUUGUAACAGAACUUCCUGUUAUGCUUCGCCUUCACCCUGAAGAUGAGAUUGCAGAAAUGCCGCAGGUGGGGAGUGAGGGCACAUGGCAGGACCCUUUCCUCCUUGCUGCUGGUCCCUUGGGAGCCCAGGGUGUUUGCUUUAUGGGUUGGGCCUUUCCAUGCUACUGUUAACCAUUAUGUCUUCCAUUUCCAAGUUGCUUCCUGCCUCUUUACUACAUCCCCUCUAACCCCCAAGGGCUGGUAUCAGACAAGAGGAAAUGAGGUCUCUCCUAGUUGGAGCUAUUCCCUUUGUCAGAAGUAGGGCAUUUCCCACCAGACCCCAGCCCCUUGCAAAGGUGGAUCCAAAAGUAGAUGAAAUGUCAACAAACUCUGAGAGAAACCUAUUAACUAUGCAAAUAGAAAGUUCCUUGUACUUGUCCAGUAGACAGAACAAAGGAAGGUGUGGGAGUGUGUCUGGCUUUGAUGACAACUGAGGCCCCUCCACCCCCCAAGGCAGUUUAUAAACUUUGUGAAGACAGGGACAGGGACUCUAAAUACUUCUGUUUUGUUUGUACAUUGUUUGUUUGUGAAGAUGAGGUUAACAUUAAUUAAUAAUUUCCACCUGAUGUUUUCUUAGCAACAGGAAAGAGAAAAGCUCUCAGUAGAUUUAGAACUACAAAGGAACAAUUUAGGAAAACCUCACAGUCUGUGUGUGUGGCCUGGUCACGUGGUAGAGUGGUAGGACUCCCUGGCCUUUCUGACAUUUGAAGGUGCCAUAAUAGCAAUGAUGCCAGACCUGGUUGCUAUGCUGUGUCUUUUGUGAAGAUUCUGAGACUGUUAACUGAGGGCUGCUACUGUUUCACCAUUUGUGAUUACUUGUUUAUGUGUGGGAGAGAAGGAAUUAAUUUUUUAUUUUAUUAUCGUUUGCCAGAAGCUGUGCUGACCCUUCCUUCCUCCCUCCCUCCCUCCUCACAAAAACACAAGGUAGAUAUUACAAAAUUCCCAUAGAAAAAUGGCCUCAGACUAAAGUGCCUGCGCAGGGUUUCAUGGGCAGAAUUUGAAACAAGGUUUUGCUGACUAUGAAGUCUUUCACCUGGGAGGGUCACUGCUAUCAGAGACCACUCCCCCAGGAAAGGAAAGCAAAGGGGGUUAUAUGCUUAAAGAACCAGACUAGAGGAGCCUCUGUCAACACACCUCCUUUAUUAAGUGGAUUUUCAGAGGACUUGAGAGUAAGUUGGUUUGUCUCCCUUUAGGCCUCUGGAUUUCUCAAAUUCAAAUUUAAAGCUCUGCCCUUGGUGGAAUACCACUUCAGAAGUUCACUGCAGUUGAGGGCGUCAGUACAUUGCACAUUGUGGUGCCACCUCACCCCCUACACUGAUCCUCUUGAUUCCCUGUUCCUUUUAGUGUUGCUACUAUCUAAAGACAUACUGGCUUGUCUGCAAGCAUCUCUCUGGGGUUGGGAGGCCUCUGUCUCACGCUUUGGGAUUUGCAUAGCUGGCAUACAUGGCUAGUUUCUGGACUUCUUCAAAUGUUUCCUGAGCCCCUUCAACUUGCCAAGUAUUGACUUGAUGCUGUCCAUAGCAAUAUGAAUUUGGAGAAGGGGAACACACAUGAUCAGUUUGGUGGAUACUAUAGUAACUUGUAAUUUCAUAUUCCAGUUGUUCAUUGCUGGUAUAUAGGAAAGCAGUUAACUUUUGUAUAUUAACCUUGUAUCCUACAACCUUGCUGUAGUUGCUUCUUAGUGAAUAGGUAGUUUUGAAUUCCUCUCUUUGGGAUUCUCUACAUAGACAAGUCAUCUGCAAAUAAAGACAGUCUUAUUUCUUUCUUCCCAAUCUGUACUCUCUUCAUUUCCUUUUCCUGUCUUAAUUAGUCCAGACUUCCAGUAUGAUGUUUAUGGAGUGGUGAGAAGGGACAUCUUUCUCUUGGUCCAGAUCUUUUUUUUUUUCUCUUUCUCUUUUUGGCUGCCCUAUGGCAUAUGGAGUUCCCAGGCCAGGGGUCAGAUCCAGGCCUCAGCUGUGCCAGUGCCACAGCUGCACCAACACCGGAUCCUUAAUCCACUGUGCUCGGGGGAGAUUGAACCCACGUCCCAGCGCUCCCAAGAUGCUGCUGAUCCUCUUGUGCCACAGCGGGAAUUCCUUGGUCCAGAUCUUAAGAGGAUAGUAUCUAGUUUCUCAGUAUUAAGUAGUUCCUGUGACUAUUUUGUAAUGAAAAAAUUGGCCACAAAAACUCUUGGGAAGGCCACUUGAAGCAAACUUGGUGUGGGCAGGGGUUAGGGAUUCAGGGAAAGCUUCUUGAAUGAGGGUGGUUUGCCAGGAUGGGGAGCUGUGUGGAGAGCAGGGUAAUUCAGGCUGGGAAGGCCUAGUAUGUUCAAAGAAAAAUGGUACGUGUCAGAAUGGUACAUGUGUGAGCACACGUCUCUUUUAGAAAGAUGGGGAACCUGGCUAGAAUCCUUAGAAUCCUAUCAUGUGCCCAGUGCCCUGAGGUACCAGGGACACAUUCUGUGUGGAUACCAGACUGUGGCACCCCCAGGCUUCAGUAGAGGUUAAACUUGAUGCAGGUUCCUUUAGCAAGAUGGUUCUCUAGAGUGGGCAGGCUGUACCAAGGUUCAUCUUCAACUAUAUGGCUUGUUUCCUGGGCCAUUGUUCCUGUUCAUGGCACCUCCAAUUGGUACCUGACUUGGAUAUUCUAAAUAGGAUGAAGUAGUAGCUUUAUGGUAUUGAGUGUUGAGGCAAUUGGAGAAAUAGUCACAGAAUAAUUUUAUCUUUUCGCUUUUUGAAAGCAUAUAUUGUUUGUUCUCUGAGUGGCCUCUGGGGUCUGAAAUACCCUGCCCCACCAUUCACUAUCUUUGACUGUUUCCUUUGACUUACUUGCCACUUCACCGUGCAGGGCCCAAACUCCAGGCCUUGCCCACACCAACUCUAUGCAUCCUGGGAAUCUUGAAUGUCACCCAGGCCCUAGAGCCCCAGGCACCAAGGAAAUCCGCAGUUCUGUUCAUUUUGGAUUAGUCCUGGCAUCCAGCCGUCAUUUAUUACCUUCUUCCCUGGGAAUCCAGCAGAGAAGUCCCAAGAACUGGCUUGAUGGACUUUUGGAAUGUGAACCUGUCCUAGGUUGCUGGUUGCCCUGUUAUGUUUGUUUGUUUGUUUUGUUUCUUUGCCACACCCUUGGCAUGUGGAAUUCCCUGGGCCAGGGAUCAAACCCCCCACACAGCAGUGACAACAGUGGAUCCCUAACCCACUGAGCCACUAGAGAACUUUUGUUUUUCCCCUCGUGUUAUGUUAAGAAGACUUGGGGCAGAGGGGAACAGUGGGAAAGAGGGAAAUUCCACACCCAGCAGUUAGCCCUGGAAUUAUAGCCAAGUUUCAGUUCUGUUCGGUGCUGGCGGAAGAAUCAUAUUCUUCUUCUGUCCCCUGGGCUUCUGGACUGGAGAGGAAACAAGUGGGCCUAGGAAAUCUCUGCAUGAGGGUGUUUUCCACCUAGCUAGUGGAGAUCAUUGUGGAGUGCCUGGUGACUCCACAGUGAUGUAUAUGCAGAGUCCAGCAUGUCUUUCUCUUCCACUGUGAACUGCAUGUUUUCAGUUAUAGCUGAAGAAAUGCAGGGGAAGGAGAACAUUAGACUUUGUUGUUUUCAUUUAUGUUUUACUCAAUGCAGAAAUGUUUAGCUUUAGAUUUUGAGAAAAUUGUUGUGAAUUACAUUUAUAAAAACUCAGAUUUCCAAGGUGUCCUGGCAUUGGUGCCCCAGUUCUUGUUGUAUAUAAUGGAUCAUGGUCUUGGCUUGAAUGUUAGACAUAAUCUAGGGAGUUUUUGAAAAUCCUAAUACUUGGCCCUUACCCAGGAUACUUUUCACUGGAAUCUCUGUGGGAAGCGGCCCAGGCAUCAAUUUUUUUUUUUUUUAACGUUUCCCAGAUGCUGCCAACUGUACAGUUAUGUAAACCUUUGUUUGUACCCAAAUUUCACUCUGAGUCAGGUGCUGAAUAUUGAGAAUCUGAAAGCUGCACGGUCUUGUGAGGAGAGACAUAAACUGGGCGAGUCACAGACUCUUCACUGUCUUGGCUGUAUUUGAGCCCUGUUGAAAUUUGGGAUAUGAGACCCUGAUUGACCUAAGUGCUGAAGCUAUUUCUGCUAGCCAUUUGAGAUAGAAAACUUUCUAUUAAAAUUACCAGAAACUUUGCCCUGAGGUAAAAAUGGAUGCACCUUCACCAGUGUUCAUAGUGGUACCACUUAUGAUAGCAAAAAGAUAGAAACAACCCACAUGUCCACUUGAUGAAUGGUUAAACAAAGUGGCGCAUCCAUAUAAAGGAACAUCAUUCACCUUCCAAAAGAAGGACGUUCUGACAUAUGCUACAAGAUGGAUAAACCAUAAAGAUACUACUAAGUAAAAGAAGCCAGACACAAAAGGGCAAAUACUGUGUGAUUCCACCUAUAUGAGAUACCUAAAAUAGUCAAAUUUAUAGAGAUAGAAAAUAAAAUAGUGGUUACCCAGAGCAGGGGGAGGAAGGGGAGUGGGAGUUAGUGUUUAAUAGGGACAGAGUUUCUAUUUGAGAAGAUGAAAAAGUUCUGGAGAUGGAUGAUAGCAAUGGUUGAACAAUAGUGUAAAUACACUUCAUGCCAUUAAACUGUAGACUUUAAAAAUGGUUAAAAUGGGAGUUCUCGUCGUGGCUCAGUAGUUAACGAAUCCGACUAGGAACCAUGAGGUUGUGGGUUCAAUCCCUGGCCUUGCUCAGUGGGUUAAGGAUCUGGUGUUGCUGUGGCUCUGCUGUAGGCCAGCAGCAACAGCUCCGAUUCAACCCCUAGCCUGGGAACCUCCAUAUGCUGCAGGUGCCGCCCUAGAAAAAACCAAAAAAAAAGGGUUAAAAUCGUAAUCAAAGCUACAAUGAGGAGUUUAUGCUGUAGUGCAACAGGACCAGCAGCAUCUCUGGAGCACUGGGUCGCAGGUUUGAUCCCUGGCCCAGCACAGUGGGUUAAGCAUCCAGCAUUGCUGCAACUGCAGUAUAGGUCGGAUCCCUGACCUGGGAACUCCAUAUGCCGCAGGUUGGCCGAAAAAGAAAAG
rnacentral:lncRNA from 1 species